rnacentral:lncRNA from 1 species
GUGACCUUCAAGCAUCUAAGUCUUCAACUUUCCCACAAAUUACAUUGCUUUUUUCCCCCAGUGUUUAUCUUUAACAGAUAUUAGAAUGGCAUCAGUGUUUGGUUUUGCCGCGCAGACAGGGGUCUGGGAGGAGGAGCUGCUGCCUGUGGAGGCGUCCCCCCCACCCCUGCCCCCAGCCCAGUCACCCAUGUGGAUGCUCUCAAAUGGGACAGGAAACAGUUCAGGCCUUACCUCCCAGCUCUCUUUCUGGAUCACUCCCUGAUGCUGAAGUAAUGCACAUACGAACAAACAUCAUGUCUCCAAGACCUUGCCUGCCAAGAAGUCUGCUGGAAUGCCACUCGUGGGAACACCGCCUGCUCUGAAUUAGAUUUCUCCUCCUUUGCAUCAUUUGUGGGUUUUUAGGAUCAAUGGGGCUUUUGCCUUUUUUUCUACACUUCCAGCUUUGUAGAUGGAAGAAAUCAUUUUUGGGGGUGAAUCAAAUUACCCAAAGCCAUUGAGAGAGCUGCCACUUAUACUUGGCUUUUCUCUCUUCCUAGCCAUGUGUCCAAAACUUCAUUACUCAAUUAUGGGGAACUUGAGGCCCAGAGAGGUGAGGUAACUCAUUGAGGAACUGGUUAAGAAGCCGGCUUCCACCCCCAGUCUGCACCAGGACCAAGACUCACACUCAGCUCCCUGACACCAGAAGCCUCACUCACUACAUCCUACCGGUGACUCUUGUCAUAGAGCACUUUGUUAUUUUUGUGAGUGUAUCUUAUUUAUCCAGCCCUAUCUGUAAGCAUUGGGGUGGUAAGGUCGUCACCUUACAAGCCUUUGGAUGCUGCCAUGCAGAUGUUCUGUAACUAUGCCAGUGUGACCUCUGCGAUUCAGAGCCUCGAGAUGCUGAGGAGUUGGUAAGGCUCUGGAAGUCCCCUGUCUUUCUUUUCUCUGCCCCUUUGCAAUUUGCUCUUCUCUCUCACAGACAUACUUUUAGUGCCAUCACCUGUCUGCCUAUCGUGACAUCCCCCCAUGUUAUUCUCCUUGCGUGCAUCACAGUUCUUUGCCAGAAUUCUGUUUCCCUUUAUGAAAAAUAUCAACCUUGUCCUUUAUCCCUUGUUUGCUGCCAUCAUCAUCCUCCUUUUAUUUCCUGAUAGUAAAAUGUCUGUUCUUUUCUUUUUGCAACUGUGGACCUCAUCAGUGGUCCUUCUCAACUCGGUGCAUUUUGUAUAAGUACAUGAGUUUGAUCUUGGUAACAAGAAUGUGAGAUUGAUAGAACCAGGGAGAAAACACCUCUUUCCUUUAGGAUCUAGGACCAUAGAGAAAUCUAGGUUUGUUUCAAGGGGCCACGGUCAAGGGAAAGUUGGUGUUUUUUCAGUGCCUGUUCUGUGCUAGCAAUGUGGGAAGCCCUGUGCACAUGACAUCACCUAGUCCUCAUUGCAACUCCGGGAGAGUUUUAUCUUCAUGCAAUGAAUGAGAAAAUGUUCCAAUGAGCCACAGCUCACUCUGGGUGACACUUAAAGGCAGGGCCAGGAUUUCAACUCACCUCUGGCUUUAAAGUCCGUGCUUCCUGCCACACAAGUCUUGGUUGAUGUGUGUACCAUAAAGGGGGAAGUCCUAAACCCUCUGCAGGCACCAACUUGUGCCUCAUCCUCUGGUGCUGAUGGGGUUUAGAGAACUGUGGGCUGGGCAUGUUUGGGGAGUCUAGUGACACCCAUGGUAAAAUGAUUCCCAGGCUUCCAGUUGGCCAGAGAAGGUCCUACCUGCAUCCACGGUGGGAUCAAAGAAACAGGUCACGUCAAAUUUGCCUCCUUCAUCUUUGAACAGGUGGCAGUGUUACUAGAAGUACAGGCCAGUCUGAGAAAUGAGAGAAGUACUGUGCUGCUAGAUCUUUCCAGGGAAUUUAGCAAAUGCACAUGAAAACCUUGUGGGCAUAUAAAGAAGUGAAGGUUGGGGAUGGCUUCUGGCAGUUUCCAUCUGGUGCCUCAGUGAUGAACAAACUGAAAGGUUGGGACCAGGGUUUGUUCUUGGUCAUUUGUUGUUGGCAUUUGCACCAGUGCCUUGGAGGAAGGACUGAGGGGUGUGCCUGAUUCCCAAGACGUGUGCGCAGGAACCAGAGCUAUUCAUCCUUACUCCUCUGGAAAGCCUCUUCUUUUGGGGGGGCCUUGACACAAUGUCCUUACUUUCUCGCCUUCCGCUAGUUCCUUUGAUGGAUUCUUUGUCCUUUGCCUUAGGACCCCUUCUUGAGCUGUUCUCCCCGGUCCCUCAGUGACGACACCAUCUGCUCUUGAGUUUGCUUCUUUCUGAAUGACAAUGCCUGGCUUCCAGCUCUGACUGAUGCCGGGUAUCUCUGCUUUACAGUGAGUCCCACUCACCACACCCU